rnacentral:rRNA from 1 species
GGAAAAGAAACUAACAAGGAUUCCCCUAGUAACGGCGAGUGAAGCGGGAAGAGCUCAAAUUUGAAAUCUGGCAGUCUUCGAUUGUCCGAGUUGUAAUCUAUAGAGGCGUUUUCCGUGCCGGACCGUGUCCAAGUCUCCUGGAAAGGAGUAUCAAAGAGGGUGAUAAUCCCGUACUUAACACGACCACCGGUGCUCUGUGAUACGUCUUCUACGAGUCGAGUUGUUUGGGAAUGCAGCUCAAAAUGGGUGGUGAAUUCCAUCUAAAGCUAAAUAUUGGCGAGAGACCGAUAGCGAACAAGUACCGUGAGGGAAAGAUGAAAAGCACUUUGGAAAGAGAGUUAAACAGUACGUGAAAUUGUUGAAAGGGAAACGAUUGAAGUCAGUCGUGUUCUUUGGAUUCAGCCAGUUCUGCUGGUCUACUUCCUUGGAACGGGUCAACAUCAGUUUUGUCCGGUGGAUAAAGGUAGUAGGAAUGUGACUUCUCCGGAAGUGUUAUAGCCUAUUAUCACAUACACUGGGUGAGACUGAGGACUGCAGCUCGCCUUUAUGGCCGGCCUUCGGGCACGUUCGAGCUUAGGAUGUUGACAUAAUGGCUUUAAACGACCCGU